GACGAACGCUGGCGGCACGCCUAACACAUGCAAGUCGAACGAGACCGUCGGGUCUAGUUUUGCAGGGCUGCGGAACGCGUGGUAACCUGCGCUUAGGGUCGGAGUAACUCCCCGAAAGAGGUCCGAGUACCGCGAAUUCUCUUCGGGCCAAAGAUUUAUCGCCGUUGGAUGGGCCCGCGUUGGAUUACCUAGCUGGUAGAGUAAAAGCCUACCAAGGCGACGAUCGAUAGCUGGUCUGAGAGGAUGAUCAGCCACACUGGGACUGAGACACGGCCCAGACUCCUACGGGAGGCAGCAGUGGGGAAUAUUGGACAAUGGGCGAAAGCCUGAUCCAGCAAUGCCGCGUGAGUGAUGAAGGCCUUAGGAUUGUAAAGUUCUUUUACCCGGGAUGAUAAUGACAGUACCGGGAGAAUAAGCGACGGCUAACUCCGUG
rnacentral:rRNA from 1 species